GUGUCACCUGGAGUUCUCCCCAAACUACUUCAGUAGCUACACCUCAUUUGCUGGCAUGUUUAUGUGCAUGGGACCAGUAGAGCUGUGUAUAUACUGAAGUGUUUGGGGGAACUCUGGGUGGCAA
rnacentral:pre_miRNA from 1 species